UACGGGGGGGGCAAGCGUUGUUCGGAAUUACUGGGCGUAAAGGGCUCGUAGGUGGCCAACUAAGUCAGACGUGAAAUCCCUCGGCUUAACCGGGGAACUGCGUCUGAUACUGGAUGGCUUGAGUUUGGGAGAGGGAUGCGGAAUUCCAGGUGUAGCGGUGAAAUGCGUAGAUAUCGGGAGGAACACCUGUGGCGAAAGCGGCUCACUGGACCACAACUGACGCUGAGGCGCGAAAGCUAGGGGAGCAAACAGG
rnacentral:rRNA from 1 species